rnacentral:ncRNA from 1 species
UACCUGUCAAUGGGGUGCCUUAGUGGCUGAGAUGAUACCCAGGAAGUUUUUUCCGCACCUGAUCCGGAUAAUGCCGGCGUAGGGAUCUGUCAUCUCCUCAUCA